AGAGCUGACUCCUUCAGACAAGAGUAUAAAAUGCAGGACUCAAAGUACUUAAAAUACUUCAGUGACAAGCAACAAAGAAAUGCCUGUUACUAUAAUUGCCUGCAUUAAGUAAAGAGCCAGAAAAUCUUGAGAACUUUUAAAAAAGUAGAUAUUUGAUGUGUAGGGAGUGUAAGAACAAAAUUCUCUCGGGCCAUGGCCGGAGCCCUGAAUCAGCAGAACUCUUUUCCUUGAAGAAAGUGAAAACCAGAGGAGGCCUGGCUGUUGGAGAAUCCUCCACUGUGGCACACUGUGUGCAGAUACACCCCAGUCCAAGAGGAACUAGACACAGACCACCAGCAAUACAGACCAACCACCAGCAAUACAGACCAUUCGUUAUAUCUUUUUUUCUUUUUUUUUUUUUUUUUUUCAGUAGCUAUUAAUUUGGGAUGCAUUUCAACUAGUGGCCUCGACUGGAAAAGUACCAGAUCCCAUGCUGUGUAUCUCGAGGGUACCCAGUCUCAUUAAUAAGCACCUUCAUUCCAGAGUAUUGUCUGUUUAUUUUGGAAGGUUUUCCUCCCCUCCCUGAAAAAACAGAGAUGAAUUGGGAUAAAUACAGGCAGGAAAUGGUCUCCCUAGCAACACUAAGAAUACAUAAGAACAACCUCAUCAUUCACUUUUCUUCCUUAGAUACACUUUUAAAAGAAGUUUGAGCUACCCUAAAAGACAUCUCCUGUUCGCAGUACAACACCCAAGUCAACAGAAUUAAUCAGCCCUGAUUUCACUUUCAGUGAGAAGGGAACUAAGUCCCUUUAAAAAAACCAGGGACAUAAGGUCUUAGAUUCCAGGGAAAGAAAGCUGAGUCAAAAGAGGAGUUCAUUCAGAUUCAACACUGCUCAAAAGAAAGCAGCUUUAUAUAACAUUCAGCUUUGCUGAAAUGUAACUUACAUUAACAAACUUCCAGCAUGCCCUGUUCAGAGAGCCUUAGGUUUUGAUAAAGUCUGGGUUCAGCUGUCUACGGGCAAAAUCUAAUCUAGUUGUGUAACAAUGCCAGAAAGGAAAUCAGAAAACUUGUUUCUGAGAGUUUAUUGGGGGAGACAUCAAAGCGUGGUGCUGCAUAAUUCCUACUCCCGUCACGUUGCACUAACACAGCCCCCUCACUCCUGAUCCACUUGCUGUGCCUGCCAGCUUCUGAAUGCACUAUGAGGUGCAUGAGAGGCAUUUCAGCAGCUGAGAAGGCUGAGAGGGCUUUUCACCUGGAACAGUGUGUCCAGCCUAAGAGGUGAGGGGAAACUUCACUGGGCUCAUCCUCCUCAUCCAAUUUUCUCUACAGUCUGUGGGCAGGAGGGGUUGGCCCUCAGAGGAAGCCAGUAGGUGAGCCCAAUUUCAGGCUAACCCUGCCAGAUUUCUACCUCCAGACUGCAUGGGAGAAACCCCUCGCUGCAGUUUGAGAGCAUGCCCUGGCUCUACCAUAUUCAAGGAGGAGCAUUAAAAAUGCAUUGUCAGCCCUAGAAGGAAACCUUAUCAUUGCUGUGCAGCCCGGACACCAUGCGUUACCAAUAGGGCAUAUAGGAGGUGCUUCUAUCGCCAUGGGGUUGUGUUGUACUUGUGGUGCUUGGGAAGGGUGUAUUUGGUGCCUUCGGUGUUGUGUGGCUGGUGUUAGAAGCAGAAAACUCAAGCACAACUGGAUAAAGAAUAGUUCUAAGAAGGGCAGGGGAUCAUUCUGAAGAUUUCACAGGAAAACAAGAAUUAGAAUCAAAAUAAAGAAAACUGAGAGGAAAGAUAACAAAAAAAAAAAAAAGAAAGUGAACACUGCAACCCUCCCAAAGCCAGAACAGCUUUCUAUCCAUGCAUGAGCAUCCCGGCUGGAGCGCAACCAAGCUGCUUCCAUCAGACCUGCACACCUCCCAGGUGUGUCUGCUGGAGCUUAUACCUAUGCAUAACUUGAACACUUUAUUCUAAAAGGAAAAGCAAUAAAAAUCAAAGCAGGCUUGUAUACAAGUUAAAUCUUCUGUUAAGGAGCGGUAAUGUUAUUUGUUUUCAAUCAAAUGAGGGCAAUAAAAGCCAAGAUGUGUAAUGAAACCCCACCUGGUGUGUAUCGGCCUUGACACAGCCUUUUUAUUCAACAUAGCCUUUGCUUAAUGGAAAUCCCUGGCAAAGAGCCAGAGCCAGGGCUGUAAUGUUUGUAAAUAGCUGUUGCUUUCAGCCUGACUUUCCCCAGAGAAAACCAUGCAGGAAUAAAAAAAGUGAAGAUUCGGUAACAGCGUAAUUGCGUCACAUAACGGCCACCCCCGGGAAGCCAUCUGAAGUUUUAAUGCUCUAAAAUGAAUGCUGAAUUCACUCGUUUUCUCUAACAAAGGUGGCUGUUGCGGUGGCUGCACACACACCAGAGGGCUGCUGAAGGAAAGCGGAACAAAUGCCAUUUGCAAUUCAAGUGCCUUUAGACCCCAGAUGCUGCUGCCUCACAACCACUCUUCUGCAACCUUGAUGAAGGAUGGUAAUUAUCCCUCCAGUACUGGUGACCAGCACAGGCCCGGCCCUAAUCUCUUGCUGAUGUGGGCGACAGACCUGCUCAAGGACACAGAGGCACAGGUUGGUGCCAGGCCAUUGAAAUGACACCGAGUCAGGCUGGAUUUGACUCAUACUCCUGGUCCUGCAUGCUAGAAUAAAUAUCUGCAGCUCUGGCAUGACAGAGAUGGGGCUUCAGAACCUUCCCAUCUUGUACUGGGGCUUGCUCAAUAUUGGGAUCCCCUCUUGGCAGCCAGGAGAACCCCAGAGCCACCUCAAGCUUUCCGAUCCACUUCUUUUAACCUGGCACUCGACUAUAAACAGCUGCCGGUGGCACACAUGGUAUAUUAAGCUUCUGGAGAAAUGAACUAGUUUUCAUCAACAGCCCAGCCAUCCUCUUGCUGUGUUUCCAGCCACUGCUAUUGCCUUGGAUCUCCAGACGCUGACCUAGCCUCUGCUUGGCAUUCAAGUUGUAACACCUUUGACACUAACAACCCACUCAGGAAGCCACAGGAAUAAGUUAUGUUCUCUGAAUGACGUGUUUCGGCCUUUAUUCUGCUCACGAACAUGGACCAGAGUUUCAAGUUAUCAGCCGUUUCUUACAGAACACUACUCAUUCAGAUGUUCCUCUUGGCAUUAAGCUAUAAACAUGGGGCCUACCAUGAGGGCCUACUCGUAUGUUGAGGGGUGAUAUGCUACUACCUGAGCCAUGCCACCUGCUCAAAGAAAGGGAGAGAGUAACAGCAUCUCCCAGCUAACCUCAGGCAUAGUCUCUUCAGGGGGCAGCAGGCUGAGUGCAAAGUCAAAUUUGCCUUAGAGGAAAAUCUAUCCAAGUGGGGAUUCUGAUGGAGAGAGAAUUUCAUCCAACUAUUCCGUGAUGUGGUGUGUGCCUGCCUUGCUGCACCCAGCAGCAGCUGCUUCACUGCUUCACUGAUCAAAGCUGGCAAGUUAUUUUAGACAUUUUGUAGGAGCUGGUUACCCACAGUAUGCUUCAUGUUCAGUUGGCCUUGGUCAUACCCACAUCCGGGGCAUGGUGCAGAGUUAGGCUGCCUAGUGACCUUGCCAGGUGGGAGAUGGCCCUUGGUGCAAAGACUGGCUGGGGAUACACUGAUAGUGAUGAGGAACUCCUGUUUGGUACUGCUGAUGAAGGCCAUCUCUCCCACAUGCAAAUCCAUGUUGUCACAGAACUGUACACUGAACUUGAGGAGCAGUCCCACCAUCAUCGCUGAACAUACCUCUAGGUAAUGGCAGACUGUGGCUGGCAUGAAUCUGCCCUUGUCAUCCAAGGUGCAAACUUCUGCUCUGCUGCUUACCCCUAGCAGCCACAGAGCUGGGCAAGGAGGCAGCAUUCCCCAUCAUGUGCUUACAUUAAAACGCAAUCCUACAUCUUCAAGCUAGGUGUAUGAACAAUAACCUCAAGUCACUGUCUGAUGUCCUGCUGUUGGACUAGGAUUGCUUCAUGUGAAGAGCGUUUUAUCAAAAUAAAUUGCACUGUACUGUGUCCAUGGCUGCUUUCUUUAGCAAGGUCUCUGAUAAUUCAGUCCUGUUGCAUCUCAAAUGUAAGUGGUAUUGACAAAAGAUUGCAUGCAGCAGCAAAAACACAGAUGAGGCAAGUUGCCACCUCCUGAAUGGUCCCUUGUCUCAGGGCAAGCAUUUUCCUUUCUUCCCCUCUAAACUUCAAAUGCAGGAGGAAAAGGUUGAGCCUGUUGCAUUUUUCUCAAAUACAGCCAUUCUCUCCUUACCAAAGUAAGAAUUAUGAAGGUUUUAACAUGAAUUUAAGAAAAAGAUGGAACUCAAUUGCUGAAGUUAAAAGUGACCAGAAGUAGCAAGGCAUUUCAUUUUAGGGGAAAGUUCUGUAAUAUUGAACUUAUAAAGAACAGAAACUGCUGUCUGUCAGACAGGCCUGGAGUUCCCCCAGUGUGCCCGGAGCAUCAGGUGAUGUGGAGGGAACAAUUGGCGUUUUCUGUAGCAGUGGUUACUGCCUGUCUGUAUUUUAAGUAGCAUCCUUCUGAAUAUGAGCUCCAGUGAUAGACAGGGCAUUUAAUGAGGAUUCAUGGGCCACCACGGACCAAAAGAUCACCGACAAAGAAUCCGAAGAUAGGCCAUAAAUGUUUUAUUAUCUAUGCUUUUAGGAUAAUGGCUGUCUUUUUCAUUCUUGUACAUCCCCUAGUGCAACAGGGUCUUGUUUCAUUCUGCAUUAAUUUUUACUUGUUCCUGACUGGUGCUUUUUCAGUACAACCCUUAAAUGACCCCUGCAAAUGUAAAUAGCUAAUAAAAAAGUGAUUUUCCUUAUCCAUCGGUGCAUGGAAACUGUCAGCAGUGCCUAGAGUCCUCUUUUGGCUGAAUUUGGUGGGAAUUGUCCUGCUGAUUUUGCAAGAGACAAAGGGAGGCUCUUUGGUCAGCCCCAAGGUCCAUUCUUGCCACAUGGGACAGGGGCUGAGGGGUCCCCAUGUGAUGGCUAUGAGGACUUGUCCUCCCUGGCAGAUUCCACCCUUCUCUGGCCCUGACACUGUCCCUAUAUUCACACAGCAAGGCCAGAGGGCACUUGGCCACUCUGGGCUCUUGGCUCUUCUCUACCCUCCUGAUGUGCUGGAAAUGAAAAAGUCAUCUCCCUCUCCUUUAUCUCCAGCUGUGUUUUUCUGCUUCUGUGGAAUAGAUUCAUGAGGUGGCCCCAGGCAUGCACUUGGGUGAGCAUGAUGUCAAAGCUGGAGUUGGCCACUGCAGUGAUAGCCCAAGCUGCUAUUAAUUCACACC